CCCCAGCAAGCUCUGACGCGAUACUCGUAUUUCCACCCACCGCAGCCCUGGAGUUACUGCUGAGCUGUGCCAGUUUUUAUGUGUGUGCCAGAAAUUCGAAUUCAGUUCCUCAUGCUUGCACAGGAAGUCGAGGCUGACCUUUGCCUGGGAGGAGAAAGGCGAAUACAAGCAGCCGUGUGGCACCGUGUCUCAGUUUAAGAUCGACCGCCACUGCUGACAGUGAAUUACUGUCUCAACUGUCAGGUUAGCACAGGUCUGAAAGUGCAGAACACCAUGCGUAGAGAAGGCAGUGGAGAACAGGUACUCAUGUUUUGUUAAAGGAAAUGAAAAAUGAUGCAAUACUUGGAGAAGAAAUUUGAUAAUACUUAGCAAAAUUUCAUAGAUACGUACCUGUUAAUCCAAAAACCCCACUUCUAAGACUCCCUAGCAGACUGGGCAUGCUGGUACAGGCUUGCAAUCCUAGCACUUGGGUGACUAAAGCAAGAAGACCGAGAGUUCAAGGCUAGCCUGGGUUACUUAGAGAAACCCCGUCUCCAAAAGAAAAGAAGAAUCUUGGCAAAAACACACAAAAAAGGCAUCCUUAAUUGGUUGAAAUAAUAGGAGACUUGGAAUCCACAAAUCGAUUCAUCAUAGAUUGCUCUGAUCCAUUCAUAUACUGGAAUAGCAUGUACUUGUGAAAACAAGUGAGAAACAUCUCUGUAUACUGAUAUGUGUAUCAUAUAUGUUUAAAGUUGUAAAACUGAAAUUCCCAGAAAAACUGAAAGCUAUACCUAUGUUAAAGAUGCUAGAAGGCAGCUGGGAGGAGUGGUGCACACCUUUAAUUCCAUCACUGGAGAGGCAGAGGCAGGUAGGUAGAUCUCCGAGUUUCAGGACAGCCUGGUCUACAGAGCAAGGUCAGGACAGCCAGAACUACACAGAGAAACCCUGUCUCAAAAACAAAACAAGAACAAAACAAACAAACAAACAAAAUAGAAAAAGAACAAGAAAAAAAAAAGAUUCUGGAAGGAUAACAACCGAACUUCAUGAUUUUGGAGAGUGAGACUGUUGAAGACCAGGCAGUGGCGUGAUGUCUCAGUGAGUAAGAGCGCUUGAUGUACAGACGUGAGAGCCCGAGUUCAGAUCCCCAGCACCGUGUGAAAAGCCAGGCGUGGUCACAGGCACCUGUAACCCAGCACGGAGGAGGUGGGAGUCGGAUAUGGAAGUCGGAUAUGGAGACUGAUAGAGUCUGCUGCUCAGCCAGCCUAUCGAAAACCAGUUAGCUUCCGUUUCAGGCUGCUUUGUCUCAAGGGAAUAGGCAGAGAGCGACAGAGAAAGACGCCUGACAUCCCCAGCUGGCCUCUGUGCACACAUACAUGCAUGCCUGCCCCACACACAUACACAUACAUGCACACUUGUGUACACAUCCUCACACACACACAAAGAAUGUUACAGACCAGAGCAAAAUAUCUUGGGCUAUUUUUAGUCCUUUUGAAAGCCAUUUAUUGCCCAUUCCUGUGCCUGACCCAGUAUGUAUUCUUAAUGGACCACUAGUUUCCACCAGCCCCAAAGCUGAAGUCUGAGACCUGUCGUAGAGGCUUCCUUGCUUUGCUGUAGCCCGCCCACCUGUUGUCCCCACCAGUGUAAUUGCCAAUUGCCUUGACUUAUGACAUUGUUUCAUAACUAAUAAAUCUCAUGUAAUCCUUUGCAGUGGAAUGUA